CCAGAAAUACUGGUGAAUGUUUGAUAAUUUCACAUUGGCGAAGUUAUAUUUGGCAUUUAACCAGAUUUGACAAUUUUAGAAUCUUGAGAACGUGUAGCGAAAGUGGGGGACUAUAGUUCAUAAGUAAAGUCUUGACCACAGAAGAAAAUUUAAAUGAAGUCACAGAAAUUCUCCUUGAUUUUGAAAAACAGACUAGAUCUGUAGAUUCCAUUUCAGCAAGGUGGAUCUUGGAACUAAAUGUACAGAUCAGUUUCGAAACUAAGUCUUGUUGUAUAUAAUGGCCAAACGCUGCAGCCUUGUGGCGUUUAAUGGAUGGUUGUCCACCUUGACUAUUCAGUCAAGGAAACAGAAGAAUUUCAUUCCAAUUUGGUUGGAUGGUACCUCGAUUAUGGCUUAUCAGUGCCAACUUAAGCAGGUAUUGAUUUCUAGGUAAA